AUGCUUACCUGGCAGGGGAGAUACCAUAUUCAUGAAGGUGGUUUUCCCCAGGUGAGGCUUAUCCACUGCACUCUGGAUGUGCUGACUCCUGCUAUUUCCCCAAAUGUGGAAACUUGACUGUGUGAUUUGCGGUAUUCAGGUACUCUGUUAGAGCUCUCCCCUG